ensembl:lncRNA
AGCACUUCUCCAUGACAUAUUAACUAAACAAGAAAUUCUUCUGGAGCAGCAGAGGAAGAUUAUGAGGAUGGUGCAAGAUCUCAAAGCAAACAAUGUUUCUGAGAUCACAGAGGCUAACCAUUUAAGUCCAAAACAAUGUCCAGUUGAAGAUUUGAGGUCAUUAACUUCCCUGGAAAGUCCGGAAACAAGACUAAAAGUGGAAACAUACAGUGAGAGCGGAGAAGAUGAAAUGGCAUACAAGGAUGAAGAAUCCUGUCCGGUACAAAUAGGAAAUCAACGGGCACCAAAGAUGGGCAAACCCUGUGGACCUACAUGUGGAAAGAAAUGUACAGAGAAGAUCCCGCAUGUUCAAAGAAAAGAAAUAUUUGACGCCUAUCAGGACAUGUCACACAGCGACAAAUGGGCUUUUGUAUUUCACUCAGUUACCCAAUCACUGAAAACACGUCUCACGACGGGAGGUCCCAGCAGACGCAACAAGACUUUUCAGUAUCAUCUAAAUAACAGCCUCGGGCGACCUCAAGAUGUUUGCAAAACCUUCUACCUAACCACACUGGGAUACCACCCAAAAAACGACAGAGUGAUUGUCAGCGUGACAGGCAACACAUCCGGUGCCGUUCCUCCUCCAGACCGCAGAGGGCGACACCCACCUGCCAAUAAAAUAGAUCUGUCGCCAAUUUACCAACACAUUGAAUCGUUCAAUCCAACUAUCAGUGACUAUAAAUGUGAACACGCUGAAAGCAGACGAUGUUUACCAAGCAAUGUAACUGUCAUGAUGAUGUACAAAGACUUUAAAGGCAAAAGUUCAACUGCGUGUUCAUAUGAAACCUAUAGGAAAGCCAUAAAAGACAUGAAUAUAGGUUUCAGGAAAUUGAGCACGGAAGAGUGCAAAGAGUGUCUGGAACGCGGUAUUCACAUUAAGACUGAGCAUCUCUAAAGCAAACUAGAAAAUAAACGCUGUGCCUGUUGUCACACUGUGCUAAAUUUAAAAUAAGAGCAUGAUUUCACUCGACUUUGUAUAUUAUUUCUGCGGCAAAAGUUUUGGCUACAUUUUACACCUCAGUGACCCAUACAGAUGUUUAUGGCCCCAAUAUACUUCAAACGAAGUUCUUCAUUUAGGGGCAAAAAGUUUGAAAAGGCUGAGCCGACGGUAUACUAUUUUUGAACGUUUCAACACCCUCGCGCUGCUGGAGGCGGGGUGUAGAUUAAUGUGAAUAUGUCGCGCCGCUCGUGCGUAUCCCCUAAACACAACAAUAAAUGCCUUCUCUGAAUCUUUAAAGUCCCUCCGCGAGCGAUCGUACAGGUGCAGAAACAUUUGUUCCAGCUCAGCUAUUCGAGCAAUGAUCAACGAUCGUAUACAACGAUCGAUCGGCUCGGCGCAGCACAGCGCAAACAACCAACACCUGGUUAUUUUAGGCAAUUAAGGCCAUGUCCACACGUACGCGGGUAUUUAAACAAAAAAAUCUCCGUCCACAUGAAAACGCAAAAGCAUGCUAUGAAGCACUGUCAAGAGCAUGCCAAACCAGCAGGUGGCGAUAUAAUCUCAACCGUAAAGCCAUGUUGGCCAAUCAGAAGCCUGAAAAAGUUUCCAGUAGGCGGAGAUAACAGCGCAGGCUCCGACGUCACAAGCCAAAAACUGCCGUUUCGCUGUCUACACGAUAACACUGCAACCGGAGUUUUUGAACAUUUUUCAAGGCUUCUGAUUGGCCAACAUGGCUUUAUGGUUGAGAUUAUAUCGCCACCUGUUGGUUUGGCAUGCUCUUGACAGUGCUUCAUAGC